AGGGUGACAGCCCCGUACACAAAAAUGCACAUGCUGUGAGCUCGAUGAGUAGGGCGGGACACGUGGUAUCCUGUCUGAAUAUGGGGGGACCAUCCUCCAAGGCUAAAUACUCCUGACUGACCGAUAGUGAACCAGUACCGUGAGGGAAAGGCGAAAAGAACCCCGGCGAGGGGAGUGAAAAAGAACCUGAAACCGUGUACGUACAAGCAGUGGGAGCACGCUUAGGCGUGUGACUGCGUACCUUUUGUAUAAUGGGUCAGCGACUUAUAUUCUGUAGCAAGGUUAACCGAAUAGGGGAGCCGAAGGGAAACCGAGUCUUAACUGGGCGUUAAGUUGCAGGGUAUAGACCCGAAACCCGGUGAUCUAGCCAUGGGCAGGUUGAAGGUUGGGUAACACUAACUGGAGGACCGAACCGACUAAUGUUGAAAAAUUAGCGGAUGACUUGUGGCUGGGGGUGAAAGGCCAAUCAAACCGGGAGAUAGCUGGUUCUCCCCGAAAGCUAUUUAGGUAGCGCCUCGUGAAUUCAUCUCCGGGGGUAGAGCACUGUUUCGGCAAGGGGGUCAUCCCGACUUACCAACCCGAUGCAAACUGCGAAUACCGGAGAAUGUUAUCACGGGAGACACACGGCGGGUGCUAACGUCCGUCGUGAAGAGGGAAACAACCCAGACCGCCAGCUAAGGUCCCAAAGUCAUGGUUAAGUGGGAAACGAUGUGGGAAGGCCCAGACAGCCAGGAUGUUGGCUUAGAAGCAGCCAUCAUUUAAAGAAAGCGUAAUAGCUCACUGGUCGAGUCGGCCUGCGCGGAAGAUGUAACGGGGCUAAACCAUGCACCGAAGCUGCGGCAGCGACGCUGAUGCGUUGUUGGGUAGGGGAGCGUUCUGUAAGCCUGCGAAGGUGUGCUGUGAGGCAUGCUGGAGGUAUCAGAAGUGCGAAUGCUGACAUAAGUAACGAUAAAGCGGGUGAAAAGCCCGCUCGCCGGAAGACCAAGGGUUCCUGUCCAACGUUAAUCGGGGCAGGGUGAGUCGACCCCUAAGGCGAGGCCGAAAGGCGUAGUCGAUGGGAAACAGGUUAAUAUUCCUGUACUUGGUGUUACUGCGAAGGGGGGACGGAGAAGGCUAUGUUGGCCGGGCGACGGUUGUCCCGGUUUAAGCGUGUAGGCUGGU
rnacentral:rRNA from 1 species